CCUUCCUUCUCUAUUUAUCCUGUUUAUUUAGUGCAAAAGCCAUUGAGAGUGGUGCUGCUUGCUGCAGGCUGAGCACUGUGAGGUCCUGAGCCCUGCUUGGUCCUGCAGGUGCAGAAGAUCAGGAGCUGGUGGAGAUUGCUAAAUGAGUGAGCGGAUUUUCUCUGGUUUCCAGCUGACCACAUGGCUCUGCUGAUGAUGGGAGCAGGCUGCACAGGUUCGAGUUAAUGCAGCCCUGAUCAGCCCUGAAUGGACACCAAAAACUGGAGAUAGAUGCUGCAGGCACCAAAUCCUCACAUCUUCUGCUGAGACCUGAGGCUCUGCUUCACCUCCUGGGUUGGUGUGGAGUCAGACACCAACCAGCUCCGUGGGGAGGGAAGGGAAACCCAGCUCCUGUGCUGCCCCUGGGGAGCAUCUCUCUUAAUCGAGGCCUGCACACAAAUGUGUGCUCACAUGCUCACAAAGGCAGUGCUUGCCUGUGGCUGCAUGUUCACAGUGUGACAGGCCUUUUAGGCCUCAAGCAAUGUUAUCUGGAAGUGGGAAGUGAACCAAAUCAGGCCCUCUGGUGCGGAGCUGCUUUGCCUCUCAGACUGUGUAUGCUGUGGCGUGCUCCUGCUGUGGCUGCCUUCCCUGUGCUUCAGAGCAGAACCACCUGUCCAUCUGCAGACCACUUCAGCUUCUUACAACAUCCUGGAAUAUUUUCUGGCUCUCAGGCUCUUCCUGAGCUCCUGCAGUGUCUCUGUGGAGCAUCUGUGUGGAAGGAGAUGCACAAGGUCUGACCAUCACUUACAUCUUUGGGAGAAGGAUUAUGUCAAAGUGUUGAUGCUGACAGGUUGUUCCUGGCUCCCUGGAGAAGUUGCAGCACCUUCACUGGUGCUCAGCUGGAGACAGGAGCAACCAGAAGAGAGCUACAAAGCACAAAUGUCCCGUACAUAGUCAAGGUGCUGCUGCAGGGUGGCAGUUGGUCUGGAUUCCAGUGCAGGAGAGUAAGGUCUUGUGGAUUCUCCUCUUUUGUAACCUUUAAAUACCGAAGUCAUAAAUAAAACCCAGAUGCCAUUGAAUAACAUCUGGAUGAUGAAGGCUCGCUCUGCUCUUGCUUUGGAUGGGUACAGCAGAAAUGGGGAGUAGCUGUGGGGUGGCGGCAGUGACUUGGCGGUUUGCAGCCCAGAUGCAGAAGCCCUGAGCUGACUGGCGUGCUCAGACCCACUCAUACAUAUUUUUAAUGGGAAAUAGUAACUUGCAGAGGCACUGCUUGGCUCAGUGACCCCGGGGUUAUGGGGGCUGUAGAGUUUUGAGACCCUCAGCCAGACCUGUGGAGUCCUAAACCCCAAACUGGCCAGUGGGGAGACAAGAAGCUUUUGGAGCUCCUCAGCCCAUCCAAGCUGCGGAGCAGGGUUGUGAACCUUGUUGUUCUCUGCGAGAAUGUUGCUUUUACAAUUAAAACCCACGCAAACCCCCGGCCCUUGCUACUGCUUGUGUUACCCCAGUGAGAUAUCUGACAUUUGAGACAGAAUGGGAAGUCAAAGAAUGUGAGGAAUCUGGUGACUCAACAUAGGGUUUAUUAUACCAGUCCUACCGUUUAAGCCCGUGUAAUGUAAGAUUGUUUUAUGGCAUGUGGCACAGUUCUGUGGGUUAAUUUAUAAGCAAACAAUUAUUCAAAUCGGAUUUUUUUUCCAUGCCUACAUAAACUUAUCUGCUUGGCAGCAGGGGAUGCUGCAAAGAAAUGCGCAUUUACAUUUAUGGCAUUUAGCUGCUCCAGGAAAAGUAAAUAGCAUCAAUGGUGCAUUGACAUGAGGACCUUACUACUGAACUUGACCUGGGAGCGGCAUGGAGAUAAGCCAAAAGUUAAGAGAAAAGGAGCCCUUUGUGUGGAGAUGCCAGUAUAUUAGGUCUCACUUUUAGGUCACACACUUGUUAGGGGUUCCUUCAAAGUGAUGGAUUCCUCUGCUAAAAUUUAAUGAUGUCCGUUAAAUCACAGGGUCAUGAACUAGUGCAUGUGCUGAAAAUGGUUUGCCAAAGGACCAUGAAGACAAGGCCUUGUGUCAGGAGGCUUCCAAAGCAAAUUGGAUUUUCCACGCAGCAAUGGCUGUGUUUGAAGGUCUGUCAGUGGCCUGUAAAAUUCUCCACCAGCGAUAACAAGACAGAAGUGCCAAGCACUGAAGCAAUGCCACAAGCGUUACAGAACAAAUCACUCCCUCUCUGUACAUAAUAGCUUCUUGAUCAUCAGUCAAAGAAAGAAUUAUCCUAACCAGCAAGCAGACUGGCGGAGGCUGCUCGCUCUCCUCCAGGAGAUUGUCCCAGAGCUCCUGGGCUAAAGCCACUGGGGAGAGCCUGGGGAGCUUCUGGGAGCAUCGGUCUGGGGCCGAGCGGCUGGGUAGGUUGAUUUUUGGGUUGGAUGUGUAGAGAAGGAAGGAACUCAAUGUCAAGGCUUGCAUCCCUGAGCAGGCCUUUGGGGUCACCUGACCUGGCUUGAGACCAACCCCAGGACCAGCCACAUUCACGUGGAGGGAAAUGUGGACUGGUGCAAGGGAAGUUGGGUUCUGUGUGGAGAUGUCAGUCUGUUCCCUGCUCUCCUGAUGCUAACCUGGUCUGUAUUUUUCAAUCUGGGUCCUACAAAAGGUAGGUGUUAGGAAUAACUUUAUCUGCAUGCUCUUUAGCAUACUGUGAGAUGAGAUGGGUCACUUGUGUAGUUAGAUACUGUUCUGAGGGGAGGAAAACGAGAUCAUCCUGUUUCAGAAAAGAACUGAGUGGAAGAGGCUGAACCUGCUUGCUUUUUCUAUGGCAAGAAGAGUCAUAGGAGCCUUCCUUCCCUGACUUGUUUUCUAUGCCUGCUCUCUGCCUGGACAUGAGCUGUGCAUCAUCUGCUGGGUGGGAAAUUCUGCAGCUUGUGUGCAGACCCAUAAACAGUUCUUCUACCUUCUGUAUUUUGACCCUUGAGAACAGGACUCUAAUCAUGAUAUCCUUCCACCCAUCUCACAUGUAUUUAUGUAAGGAUCACAUCUAACAAGCAUUUCCGACAGACUGCUAAAUUCAUUGAAGCAGAAUAACCUCUAGCCCGGCUUCAUUGGCUGUGCUGGUGUUGCAGGAAGGAUGAUUUGGCUCAUUACAUAGCAUCCUUAGCUGCAGUGGUUUGCUAAGCAUCUGAAUGUGGAGCCAGGAGGUCGGGUGUUCAACUGGAGCUCAUACCCAGUGCUAACAGAUGGGGGAAGUUCCAGUCGUGAUGGCAGUAUAUUUUAAUGGUGAGGUAAUUUACAAUGUCUGUUAAGUUGUCUGCUGCCCUAAGCAUGAGAAAAUAAAGUGGAAGCUAAAAACCCCAAGGAAGACCUUUCAGAAAAUAUCCUAAUGGUCUGGUCAGUUCUUCUUUGGCUGUUUUUAUUAAGGACUUUUAUUUAAUGGAGGAGCUAAUAAGUGGCUGUAUUGUAUUUCAGAGCAGAUAACACCACUGGACUUCAGAUUUGAGACUUGGGUCUCCUGACAAACCUUAUGAAAGGUUGAUAUAGUCAUAUUCAUUUUCAGUAAUGAAUGAUUGGUUUCUUAAAGCAUGACAUAGAAGACCUUUUUGAGCUCUAGAAGGACUCACAUUGACUUGCAAUGAGGUUGCACCUAUGCCCUGGGUCUCCACUCGAGGUUCUGGGAAGCAGAAGGAGCUGGAGCACCCAGGGGACCUGGGCCGUAAUCCCCUGCCUGCCCUGCCACCACCUGUGAUGUUGGGCCAGCGCUUUAACCUCAGCUUCUUCCCUCAUACAGUGGUGUAGUGAUGCCUUAUGAAGAUGAAGAAGAGAGUGCUAGUUGGCGAAGCUGUUGGAGGUGCAGCCUGAAUGGUUCCUGCUGGAUCAACAAGACACCUGUCCAGACUGCUGCUGCAGCAUCAAAAUCUUCUUGAUUCAAACAAGUACCAAAACAUUUUGGACCAGUUUGCCUGUGUUGGGUGUGGGAAGCCAGGAGCAUCAUCCGGAGCUGGCCGCGUGGGUGCUGCUGGCCUCGGGCUGACACCGGACGGGGGAGUGCAUUGCUCACGCGUACGCUGACCAUUGGUUUCUCCAGCCUGGGCUUGGACCGAGCGAUAGAGAAGGCAGCUCUGGUUCCACCCAGUCUCUAAAGGAUUUGAUGUAUCUUGCUGCCAAAAGCAAACAGCGUAAAUCAUCUCUGAGUGCAGAGCUGUCUGGCUUCCUUGGAGGGAAAGUGCAGUCAGGGUGGGGCAAGAGGACACCAGGGUGCAAUGCUGCCUGUAGGCUGGUGUGGUACAAAAUCCUCCCCAAGAUUUCAGCCCAGUAAAACUUGGAAGGUGGGUGGCUCUGUCACGGUGAUGCCUAGUGGUUUCUUAGAAGAGAAGGUGCCUGGGGAUUGCUGCUGGGGUGCUCCUGCGCAGAGCUCGGGGUGACCUAGGGGUUUAUCCUGUUUUCAUUGUGAUGUGUGUGCGUGUUUAUGAAAUCCAUCACCCUGGGUGAUGUCAUGACAUGAUGAGAAACUGGGUUGUAAAUUAAAGGAAGAAGAGAAAAAAAAAGACCCCACUGUGGGUCAGAUGCUGGCAAUAAAUUCAGAUAACAGCUCA